GUUAGGAAUAUUGGACAAUGGGCGCAAGCCUGAUCCAGCCAUGCCGCGUGAGUGAUGAAGGCCUUCGGGUUGUAAAGCUCUUUAGCCGAUGAUUAUAAUGACUGUAGUCGGAAAAUAAGCCCCGGCUAACUUCGUGCCGGCAGCCGCGGUAAUACGAAGGGGGCGAGCGUUAUUCGGAAUCACUGGGCGUAAAGCGUGCGUAGGCGGCUUUGCAAGUUGGGAGUGAAAGCCCAGGGCUCAACCCUGGAAUUGCUCUCAAAACUGCAAGGCUCGAAUUCGGGAGAGGAUAGCGGAAUUGUCAGUGUAGCAGUGAAAUGCGUAGAUAUUGACAGGAACACCAGUGGCGUAAGCGGCUAUCUGGACCGAUAUUGACGCUGAGGCACGAAAGCGUGGGGAUCAAACAGGAUUAGAUACCCUGGUAGUCC
rnacentral:rRNA from 1 species